ACUCCUACGGGAGGCAGCAGUGGGGAAUAUUGGACAAUGGGCGAAAGCCUGAUCCAGCCAUGCCGCGUGUGUGAGGAAGGCUUUCGGGUUGUAAAGCACUUUCAGUGGGGAAGAAAUCCUCGGGGCCAAUACCCUCGAGGGAGGACAUCACCCACAGAAGAAGCACCGGCUAACUCCGUGCCAGCAGCCGCGGUAAUACGGAGGGUGCGAGCGUUAAUCGGAAUUACUGGGCGUAAAGCGCGCGUAGGCGGCGUGAUAAGCCGGUUGUGAAAGCCCCGGGCUCAACCUGGGAACGGCAUCCGGAACUGUCAGGCUAGAGUGCAGGAGAGGAUGGUAGAAUUCCCGGUGUAGCGGUGAAAUGCGUAGAGAUCGGGAGGAAUACCAGUGGCGAAGGCGGCCUUCUGGACUGACACUGACGCUGAGGUGCGAAAGCGUGGGUAGCAAACAGGAUUAGAUACCCUGGUAGUCCACGCCGUAAACGAUGUCGACUAGCCGUUGGGGUCCUUGUGACCUUUGUGGCGCAGUUAACGCGAUAAGUCGACCGCCUGGGGAGUACGGCCGCAAGGUUAAAACUCAAAGGAAUUGACGG
rnacentral:rRNA from 1 species